rnacentral:rRNA from 1 species
UAGAGGAAAAGUGGAACUCCCAUGUGUAGCGGUGAAAUGCGUAGAUAUAUGGAAGAACACCAGUGGCGAAGGCGGCUUUCUGGACUGUAACUGACGUUGAGGCUCGAAAGUGUGGGUAGCAAACAGGAUUAGAUACCCUGGUAGUCCACACCGUAAACGAUGAGUGCUAGGUGUUUGAGGGUUUCCGCCCUUAAGUGCCGCAGCUAACGCAUUAAGCACUCCGCCUGGGGAGUACGACCGCAAGGUUGAAACUCAAAGGAAUUGACGGGGGCCCGCACAAGCGGUGGAGCAUGUGGUUUAAUUCGAAGCUACGCGAAGAACCUUACCAGGUCUUGACAUACUAUGCAAAUCUAAGAGAUUAGACGUUCCCUUCGGGGACAUGGAUACAGGUGGUGCAUGGUUGUCGUCAGCUCGUGUCGUGAGAUGUUGGGUUAAGUCCCGCAACGAGCGCAACCCUUAUUAUCAGUUGCCAGCAUUAAGUUGGGCACUCUGGUGAGACUGCCGGUGACAAACCGGAGGAAGGUGGGGAUGACGUCAAAUCAUCAUGCCCCUUAUGACCUGGGCUACACACGUGCUACAAUGGUCGGUACAACGUGUUGCGAACUCGCGAGAGCAAGCAAAUCACUUAAAACCGAUCUCAGUUCGGAUUGCAGGCUGCAACUCGCCUGCAUGAAGCUGGAAUCGCUAGUAAUCGCGGAUCAGCAUGCCGCGGUGAAUACGUUCCCGGGCCUUGUACACACCGCCCGUCACACCAUGAGAGUUUGUAACACCCAAAGUCGGUGGGGUAACCCUUCGGGGAGCUAGCCGUCUAAGGUGGGACAAAUGAUUAGGGUGAAGUCGUAANCAAGGUAGCCGUA